rnacentral:rRNA from 1 species
AGAAUCAACGCUGGCGGCGUGCCUAACACAUGCAAGUCGCACGAGAAAGGGGCUUCGGCCCUGAGUAAAGUGGCGCACGGGUGAGUAACACGUGACUAACCUACCCUCGAGUGGGGAAUAACCUAGAGAAAUCUGGGCUAAUACCGCAUAACACUUACGAGUCAAAGCAGCAAUGCGCUUGAGGAGGGGGUCGCGGCAGAUUAGUUAGUUGGCAGGGUAAUGGCCUACCAAGACGAUGAUCUGUA